AGUAAACAGAAUCCUGAAUACACUCCUACUUGGCACCCACCAGGCGGAUGUCAUCGGGUUUGGCAGAUAAAGACUCAUGCAACAUGCAAAUGUGAGAAAACAGAAGCUUAAGAGACUAAAGAGUUCAAGUGGCACACUGAAUUUAAACCAGUUGUCAAAUGGCAAGGUCAUUGUUUGAAGUAAUCGUGUCUCACUAUGCAAUCUUAACCUGACCCAUAUAUGUUCCUGGAUCUACAACAGAAGUUACAAUGCUACAAGCUGCUUCUUAGAAGCCCAACCAUGAGAUUGUAUUGGCCAUUCAGAAGAAUAAACAUCUGAAUCAGAAACAAGAGUGAAAGGUUUUUCUCAUUAGCACUGGAAACAUCUCUACUUUAUUUUUCACAGGAUAUUCUGGGUUAAUGCUUCAAUUCUUAGAUCUACUAGUACUUUCUCUCUCCUGGAUUCUGCAAUAGUCUCUUACUGGAAUCCUUCCCACCCUCUUACCUCCCUACAUGUUAUAGAAUAUCCUAACAAGUUGUCACAAGGAUUUUCAUAGAAAGUAAAUAAAAUCAAGUAACACACUUGCUCACCGGCUUCUCAUGACUGUCUUCUAACAGUUGAGAGCACAUGUUAUGUGUAUUUCUGAUGCUAGGCAGAGGAUUCACAUCAGUCUCUCUGAGCAGUUCAUAGCUCAUUCUGUUUCAUGGGCUACAUUCCAGCCCAGAUAUUGGUUUGGUUUCCUUGUUCCUUUUUUGGACUGUGUUUUGGCUAUCUCAUUACAGAAAAGCUCUCCUUUAAAUUAUCCUAACUUACCCUAACCAAAGUUGAUAUUCCUUGUCAUUCUAUAAUGUUCAUUUUAUAAAAUGUAUUAAGGAAUGAUAUGAUUUUCUUUAUCUGUCUUUUCAUAGUAGGGUACUAAUUCCAUUUAUAUCAGCCAUGAAGAUAUGCUUGUCUCUUGCACAUUUAAUGCCAUUUGAGGGGCCAGCACUGUGCCAUAACAGUUAAAGCUGCUGCCUGCAGUGCAAGCAUCCCAUGUAAGCGCCAGUUUGAAUCAAGGCUGCUCCACUUCCGAUCCAGCUCACUGCUAUGGCCUGGGAAAUCAAUGGAAGAUGGCCCAAGUCCUUGGGCCCCUGCACCUGCCUGGGAGAACCGGAAGAAGUUCCUGGCUCCUGGUUUCCCAUAGGCACAGCUCCUGACAUUGUGGACAGCUGGGGAGUAAACCAACAGGUGAAAGUCCUCUCACUCUCUCUCUGCCUCUGCUUUAAAAAAAUGCUAGUUGAGUUAAUACUUAUUUUUUGAAUUGAUUGUAGUGGUGUGGGACAGCAAUGCUGCAGGAUAUUUCCCUACAAAAAGAAAUCAAACAAACAUUGUCUACCCAAAACUUUGAACCUAGAUUGAAUGAAAUAAAA